UGGAAAGAUUAUCUUGGGAAACGUUGGCCCAAACUCAACGCUUUUUCCAAACAUCUGGUCUCAUUUCCUUCUGCUGGGCAAAUAGAUACCCUGGCGGAAUUCCAGUGCAGGUACUCCUGGUGGAUCUGGUUUAGUAUAAGGGCAUCGGGAGCAGGCUCUUCUACAGUGCCAUGCCUUCGGUCUAGAACGCUCUCAGAUUCUGCUACUGACAUGUCAGUGAAGCAAAAGGCCCCGGAAAACAACCUCUCUGCUUCAUGGGAAUUGCCAGUUGUAAAUGGAACUUAGAUUACAGCAGGACUUCGAUGAGAAAGGUGAUGAAGAAGAGCAGAUGGGGUGGAAGCAGAAAAGGCAUGUUCAGAUUCGAUUGUAUCCACAGUAGGGACUGCUGAGCCCAACAAGAUGCUGAAAUCCAUCUCAGGGAUAAGAUACACCCCUGCACCUCUGCUAGGGGGACAUUAGCUCUACUGGUUCACCUGGUUUCUCAUUUUUACCAAUGCCUUCACGUCAGUGGAAACGUCUACGAAUCUAG
rnacentral:lncRNA from 1 species